rnacentral:misc_RNA from 1 species
CGUAGGUGAACCUGCGGAAGGAUCAUUAUUGUAUAACCGAGGUGCGAGGGCUGUCGCUGACCCGAAAGGUCGUGCACGCCCGAGUGCCCUCACACACAUCCAUCUCACCCCUAUGUGCACCACCGCGUGGGUCCCCCUUUGGCUUGUUCGGAGGGGGGCUUACGUUUUCACACAAACUUUGAAUGCAGUGUAGAAUGUAUUUUUUGUUUUUGCGAUCACGCAAUCAAUACAACUUUCAACAACGGAUCUCUUGGCUCUC